UUAAGAGUUAACAGUGGCGGGCGAUGAAAUCGUGGAUUGAUUUCCCAAAUUAGACCAACCGUUGAAUCCCCCGCCUGCGCUUUCCAUUUCUCUCUUUCACUUUCUCUUUCUUCCCUUCGUUGUCCCCCAUUUCUCAUCUUCCUCAUUUCUCAAGAAUAACAGGGGGAUCACGACCAUUUUUGGGAAGAAAUUUGUCAACAACAACAAGAUAUUUGUGAAUAUAUGAGGUAAAAAUUUUUCUUUAUCGACCCAUUACCUCGCUUAGUCAGAUUCUUGAAUUAUCAGCAUAUUUGGGUGAUUAUUUUGGAACAUUUAGUUGUUUAUUUCAAGAUCAGGAAUUAUUUUUUUCCCUGGGGAUCAACAGUUGUAAACCCUAGUUCUUUCGAUUUGGGGAAAAUAUUGGGGGAUUUGAGUCCGACCCAGAUGACAUGAGGAUUGGGAGGACUUAAUUUUUGUUGAGAUUUGGUUGCCCAUGUAUGGAUCGGUCAUUGUCGACUUGGGUAAUCUUCAUAUUGGGGGUCUUCUUCUGUUUAUUUAGUCUUCCUGUGCAGUCUCAGGGAAAUGUGAAUUCCCCUAAUUUACAACCGCCGCUGCCGCCUCCGUCUGUUCCUCCGCCGCCUCCACCACCACCACCACCUCCACCUCCACCUCCGCCUCCCCCGCCUUCGCCAUUGGCUCCUCCGCCUCCCCCGCCUUCGCCAUUGGCUCCUCCACCUCCUCCACCAAUUCAAGGAUCCCCUCCGCCACCUCCUCCGAAGAUCAAAACCUCAGAAAAGGAACAUCCACACCACCAUCAAGACCACCAUAAGGAUAAUGUUAAGUUAAGCCCACCUAGCUCAGCACAAAAGGAAAACAAGCUAAAUUGGGGGAAGAGGCUCGGGUUAAUGUUUGUGGGUAUUGCCGCGAUCUUGCAGGUCUGUGUGGUGGCGUUUUUGAUAAUCAAGAGAAGGCAAUUGUUGAAGGCACAUUCUAGAUUCUGAAGACACAUUUCCAUUUGAUGAAUCUGUUAUGGCUUCAAUUUCUUUGACUAAUUAUUGUUAGCUCUUGGAACAUGUUUUAUAUAGCUAGGGUUAUACAGAUUGAGAUUCUUUGAACAGCGGAUUUGGCAACGAAUAUGGCACUCCAUGGAUUUCAAAAAUUAAGGAUUCAGCAGAAGAUUUGUGUCAACAUUUCUGUUUUUGCUCUUGUAAAUUGGUCAUAAAGGAAAGUUUUAAGAUGACAUCUUGCCCGGAUUUGUUUUGAAGGACAUUAAAGAUUACCUAUUUUCUGUUUGGUAAGCUGUGGACCUUGUAGCUUGUAGAGAGGCAAGGAUACUUGUUGUUAGAGGCAUGACUAGUCAUUGUCGAGCUGUAAUGCUGAUUUGUACCAUAGAGAUUCAAAACCAAGAAAAUCAUAUAUUUAUUGGUAUAAUAUAACUAUAAUAUUGUACCUCAUAUUAUUAACUAAAAACAGGCAGAAUUACUUGUUCUCUAUAUUGAAUGUGUCUGACUUGAACAGUUAUAAACAUCAUGAAAUA